CAGUCGCCGCGGUAAGACAGAGGAUGCAAGCGUUAUCCGGAAUGAUUGGGCGUAAAGCGUCUGUAGGUGGCUUUUCAAGUCCGCCGUCAAAUCCCAGGGCUCAACCCUGGACAGGCGGUGGAAACUACCAAGCUGGAGUACGGUAGGGGCAGAGGGAAUCCCCGGUGGAGCGGUGAAAUGCGUUGAGAUCGGAAGGAACACCAACGGCGAAAGCACUCUGCUGGGCCGACACUGACACUGAGAGACGAAAGCUAGGGGAGCAAAUGGGAUUAGAUACCCCCGUAGUCCCUGUCUCUUAUAC
rnacentral:rRNA from 1 species